UACAGAGGAGGCAAGCGUUGUUCGGAAUCAUUGGGCUUAAAGAGCGCGUAGGCGGCUUGGCAAGCGUCUUGUGAAAGCCCACGGCUCAACCGUGGAAUUGCAGGGCGAACUGCCCGGCUUGAGGUUGGUAGAGGUGCCUGGAACUCUAGGUGGAGCGGUGAAAUGCGUAGAUAUCUAGAGGAACGCCAGAUGCGAAAGCGGGGCACUGGGCCAAUUCUGACGCUGAGGCGCGAAAGCGUGGGGAGCAAACAGG
rnacentral:rRNA from 1 species